GCUCCGUUGGCCUAGUAUUUAGAGCAUCCGCCUCGGAUGCGGAGGGUCGUGGGUUCGAUCCUCAGUGGAAUCA